rnacentral:lncRNA from 1 species
CCAACACGUUUCAAUCCCUGCAAUAUGUAACCUGGGGUAGAAGUCUCUCCAGAACCAGCUUCCUCAUGAUCCUCUGCUAUUUCCUGUCUGAGUCAGAAUGGAAAUAUCCCAAACAGACUCUAUUUCAGGGGGUUGAGCCCUUUGCUUCCACAACUAGGGAAUCAAGAGAUAAAAGAAGCUGAAAUGAGCAAAAGGCAGCCAAACUAUGAUUUUGGUUUUUCAGAACCUUUUCUUCAACUGAAGCUGAAAGAUUGAUAGAUUAUGUUCAUCCACCAGUAUAUUGAGAUGCUUUCUUUGCCGACUAACUUAAUGGGUCACUGACUGUAAUUGCACUACUAGGCGCUUGAGUCAAGGUUUGGAAGAAUUGGGUAGAGGCCCAUUUGGAGCUUCUUAAAGAUUUUUUUUUUUAAUUUUUAUUUAUUUAUGAUAGUCACAGAGAGAGAGAGGCAGAGACAUAGGCAGAGGGAGAAGCAGGCUCCAUGCACCGGGAGCCUGAUGUGGGAUUCGAUCCGGGGUCUCCAGGAUCGUGCCCUGGGCCAAAGGCAGGCGCCAAACCGCUGCGCCACCCAGGGAUCCCCCCAUCUGGAGCUUCUUUAGCAGAACAAAGGUGACGGUAUCGUGAUGAUGUGAGCUCUCAACCUGUGAAGAGGUGAAGGACAGCCCAGGGUGCGUCCAGCAGUGAAGAUCUAGACGCUGGGACCGCAUUUAGAUGGCUCUAUGUUCUGCAGCUUGCUUUCUGCUCCGGUUUGCACGGACCAGCAUCCCUGAGCAACGCAGCUGGGUCUCACAAGCUUCCUGGAAAUCCAGCGCACUCCAAGCAAGUAUCGAAUAUAUCAAAAGAAGAUCAUUAAAUCGGGCUCUUGCCUUGCAGAACACUGAGAGCGAAGUAGCUCCUAUAUUAGUAAAAAAAUUAGACAUGCUUUUGGAAAUGUUAAAUUAUCUGUAGGUGUGCAAACCAGAGUCUGAGUUCAAGGCCAGCGAGUACCUUAAUGUUUCCUCAGUCGCUGCUAGAACAUGGGUUCAAUUAAAGUCGCCUGACAGUGAAAAAUCAACAUAUUCCAAACACGCAGGCAGAGCUUUCCUCCUUAGGGCCAAAGAAUUGCUCUGCUUCUUGGCUCCGGCCAUUACUUUGUUUUCACUUUUUUCCCUCCUAAGUUCACACUUAAGGCACAUUUUAAUGCUUGUGUGAGCACCACCUAUUUCCUGUUAUUGUGUUUCUUUUUAUAGGCUGCCCUUCUUGCAACUCAGUACCUUUUCACCGUCUCCCAGUCCUUUUAGUUGAGAUGAAUUUGCCAGAGGCAGGGAAAGACUGAAGGGACUCUGUUCAUAGCUGAAAGACAGCCACACCAUAAUCUAUUAAAAUAAAGAAUGAAUGUCCAGUGCGCUCACCACUUGUGUUGUGGUUUUAUAGCUGUUGUUUGAACUGUAAGCCAGGAUGGAACUCUUUUUAAUUUCAAAGGCUUUCUUUUCCCCCGCCAAGUCUCUUUUUCUUUUUUUUUAAAUCUAACUUUGGACCUUAAUGUGUCGACAGAUCUCUCUUACAUUAUUUUUGGCCAAAGCCAGAAACAAAUUGUGUUGAAAAAUAUUAUGAGAACACCUCUCCUUCUAAGAUUUCUAGCCCAGUGUAGUCAACUCCAGAGGUUUGGAUGAUUCAGAUAAGCCUUAGAAAAACAUCCACUGUUUUAGAUUAUCUGCUUAACCAAAUCCCAAUGCUGAACUGCUGGAGCGUCUCUUAUCUAGGCUGUACUAACUGUAUAUUAUGGGAGUGAGCUGAAAAAGUAGCCAAAUGAGCUACUACUUAUAUAUAAAGGAACUCUAAACCCCCUGGUUUUGCUUUUAAUAGCACGGCUAAGGAAAAGUCACAUUCAUGUACAUUCCUAAGGUCAAUAUGUAUUUCGCAAGGUGCCGGUGUCUGACAUGAUGAAAAUAUCCAUGAUGAAAUAUGGGACUGAAUUAACCUGAUUAUUCCAUAAGAAGAAGCCAAAAAAAAUCAUUACGUUAUCAAAAUUUUGCCACUUAGAGAUUAUUUAGAAAAAGCAUAUUUAAGUCAGGAAAAUUGAAUCUUCAGUUUGAAGGAACAAGCGAAUUUUAAAAUUUCUGCGUGUAUGAACAAUGGUGGCGUUAAUUCAAUAAAUACUUCCUGAGAAUCUGCUCUCUGUUGGGUGCUGCCACAGACAUGGAUGAUAGCAGAGCAAACUGACAAUAUGCCUGCCCGCAGAGAAUUCUAAUGGGAGACAGUCAAAUGAACACACAUGGCCAAUGUCAAUGUGGGAACACAUUGUCUGGGGGAACAUAUUCGUACAUCCACUGCUGGGUGUGACACCUUUACACAGUGGUGGCAAGAUGUGCCCUAAAUCCUGAGGGCAAAGUAUGAAUUUCUUCCAUGGUGUCCGUGUCAAAGAUGUGGAGGCAAUGAAUUUUAGGAACUACAUUAUAUGACACAUGAGAAGUUAGAAAACUGGAUGCUAUCAUUUUAUGUAUCUUAACAUUACCUUGUACCUACAUCAUACCAUACGCUAUACUAAAUACUAUAAACUCACAUGGCCUUAGUUUGCCAUGUGCAAAAUUGGAACAAUGUGAGGCUUUUCUGG